CUCUUACGAAGAAACCGUUCUACGGAAGCCCAGUUGAGACAACUUGAGACAGGAUUCAGAAACGCUGAUUUUAGUAACCUUAACCCUCGGCCUUUGGUGGGAACUUCGGCUCUGUGGGAAUUAGUCUUUGGGGGACUGAUGGUGAUGCUGAAAUCUUAUUGCGUAGGAAAUUAAGUACAACAAAGAAGACCCGUCGUGAGAGGAGAGUGCGGAAGAAAUGCGAAGUCUACGGGAGGUGGCAGCUGCAGAAGCUUGGUGUUGGAUUUGGAGUUAGGAGACCGGGAGGAGCCCAGCUUCCGGUCCAGACGGUUAUCUUGUUGACUUGCACGACUGCAAACGCCCUGAGCUGCUUUUGCAGUCUGAAACAUCAGCGAUCCCAUCAAAAUAUUCUGUUUCUUGGGAUAUAAGAAACAUCCCAAGGCGGGCUGUAGAGCGAGAGAUUUGGACUCGAUUUAAAUACAGACAAAAUAGUAUGCAUUUACUAACACCACAUCUCACCCCCACGAAACUUGCCAAGCCCAGCACAACAAUGGCACACAGCAGUUGCUGCCCAAGCCUGGGUGCUCCUGGUGGUCCUGCACGAUCGGCUGUGCAGUAGGCUUGUCAAGGAGAGGAUCCUCCCUGGCCUCUCCUUGGGCAGAGGAGGUGGUCCAUAAAGCUGCUCUGGAGCCAAAAUAUUGCAGUCACAUCUCGGCAGCGACCUGCCCUCAGGUGGCAUUUUCAAGUCAUGGAGAAGGUGGAGAGAGAAGCAAUCAGCAGCCACCCACUGCAGCUGGAGACCCCAGAACUUGGUGUCUGCCUCCCAUGGCACUGGGAAGGCUGGAGGCAGAUGUUCAGCACACUCAUCUCUUUCUAAUUGGACUUGUUGAAAUGACUCCUUCAACUGCAAGAAUGGGCACAGAACUUAGGAAGGGCUGUCACUGGUCCUCACCUGCUCCUGGCCACCUGGGGUCAUCUUCCUUCCACAUAACUCCCUCAGAAAACCUCACCUGUGUCAGCUGCACUUUCAGUAGUGCCUCCUCCCGCAUGGACUGCUCUAACUUCCACUCCGUACGUGCUUUGCUGCGGCUGGACAACUGGAUGGUGAAGAGUGAGAAGUUUCAAUCUGGAGAGCCUGGGCAUUUCCACACAGUGCCCCUUAAAAGGACUAGGGCUAGGCCCAAUAUACAACUCAGUCAGUAAAGAUCAAGGCAUUUCCAAG
rnacentral:lncRNA from 1 species